rnacentral:rRNA from 1 species
UGGGGAAUCUUGCGCAAUGGGCGAAAGCCUGACGCAGCCAUGCCGCGUGAAUGAUGAAGGUCUUAGGAUUGUAAAAUUCUUUCACCGGGGACGAUAAUGACGGUACCCGGAGAAGAAGCCCCGGCUAACUUCGUGCCAGCAGCCGCGGUAAUACGAAGGGGGCUAGCGUUGCUCGGAAGUACUGGGCGUAAAGGGAGCGUAGGCGGACAUUUAAGUCAGGGGUGAAAUCCCGGGGCUCAACCUCGGAAUUGCCUUUGAUACUGGGUGUCUUGAGUAUGAGAGAGGUGUGUGGAACUCCGAGUGUAGAGGUGAAAUUCGUAGAUAUUCGGAAGAACACCAGUGGCGAAGGCGACACACUGGCUCAUUACUGACGCUGAGGCUCGAAAGCGUGGGGAGCAAACAGG